rnacentral:rRNA from 1 species
AGAGUUUGAUCCUGGCUCAGGAUGAACGCUAGCUACAGGCUUAACACAUGCAAGUCGAGGGGCAGCAUGGUCUUAGCUUGCUAAGGCUGAUGGCGACCGGCGCACGGGUGAGUAACACGUAUCCAACCUGCCGUCUACUCUUGGCCAGCCUUCUGAAAGGAAGAUUAAUCCAGGAUGGGAUCAUGAGUUCACAUGUCCGCAUGAUUAAAGGUAUUUUCCGGUAGACGAUGGGGAUGCGUUCCAUUAGAUAGUAGGCGGGGUAACGGCCCACCUAGUCAACGAUGGAUAGGGGUUCUGAGAGGAAGGUCCCCCACAUUGGAACUGAGACACGGUCCAAACUCCUACGGGAGGCAGCAGUGAGGAAUAUUGGUCAAUGGGCGAUGGCCUGAACCAGCCAAGUAGCGUGAAGGAUGACUGCCCUAUGGGUUGUAAACUUCUUUUAUAAAGGAAUAAAGUCGGGUAUGCAUACCCGUUUGCAUGUACUUUAUGAAUAAGGAUCGGCUAACUCCGUGCCAGCAGCCGCGGUAAUACGGAGGAUCCGAGCGUUAUCCGGAUUUAUUGGGUUUAAAGGGAGCGUAGAUGGGUUGUUAAGUCAGUUGUGAAAGUUUGCGGCUCAACCGUAAAAUUGCAAUUGAUACUGGCAGUCUUGAGUACAGUUGAGGUAGGCGGAAUUCGUGGUGUAGCGGUGAAAUGCUUAGAUAUCACGAAGAACUCCGAUUGCGAAGGCAGCACACUAAGCCGUAACUGACGUUCAUGCUCGAAAGUGUGGGUAUCAAACAGGAUUAGAUACCCUGGUAGUCCACACGGUAAACGAUGAAUACUCGCUGUAGGCGAUAUACUGUCUGCGGCCAAGCGAAAGCAUUAAGUAUUCCACCUGGGGAGUACGCCGGCAACGGUGAAACUCAAAGGAAUUGACGGGGGCCCGCACAAGCGGAGGAACAUGUGGUUUAAUUCGAUGAUACGCGAGGAACCUUACCCGGGCUUAAAUUGCAAAGGAAUUGCGUGGAAACAUGCAAGUCUUCGGACCUUUGUGAAGGUGCUGCAUGGUUGUCGUCAGCUCGUGCCGUGAGGUGUCGGCUUAA